AAAUUUUCUUCAUGCGCCAUUUUGAAUGUUUACAUACAGUGUGACUGCAUGAGAUAAAUUUCAGUGCCAACCACUACAUCGUCCGUUAAGUGACAGUUAUGACGAUUUUGACGAUUCCUCUGAUGGACAAAAUGAUGAUGGACAGUGCAGACAGCUUAGACCAAUGUCAGGGGUGUGGUCAGUCUAAUGGGAAGCCAAAUGAGUGAAAAGGCUGUGAUGAAUGCCCAGGAUGGUGGCACAUUAAAUGUACUAAGCAACCAGAACUUCACUUGUUGACUC